rnacentral:piRNA from 1 species
UUCCAUUUUUAAAGAGUUGAAACUCCCCCCC